UACGUAGGGUGCGAGCGUUAAUCGGAAUUACUGGGCGUAAAGCGUGCGCAGGCGGCCGAGCAAGUCGAGUGUGAAAGCCCCGAGCUUAACUUGGGAACUGCGCUCGAAACUACUUGGCUGGAGUGUGGCAGAGGAAGGUGGAAUUCCACGUGUAGCGGUGAAAUGCGUAGAGAUGUGGAGGAACACCGAUGGCGAAGGCAGCCUUCUGGGCCAACACUGACGCUCAUGCACGAAAGCGUGGGGAGCAAACAGG
rnacentral:rRNA from 1 species